rnacentral:rRNA from 1 species
UUGGGAAUCUUCCACAAUGGGCGCAAGCCUGAUGGAGCAACACCGCGUGAGUGAAGAAGGGUUUCGGCUCGUAAAGCUCUGUUGUUAAAGAAGAACACGUAUGAGAGUAACUGUUCAUACGUUGACGGUAUUUAACCAGAAAGUCACGGCUAACUACGNGCCAG